rnacentral:rRNA from 1 species
UCGAAACCUAUUCCAAUAAGGAACAACCAGCGAACCAGUUUUUAUCUCACACACGUGGUGCGGCGGCGACUCUAACCGGUCACCACGCCCACGGAAUCCGUGGGGCUACGUUCGGCUCAUCGAGUAUAUACUCGUAUUGCCGUCCGUGAUCCCAUGGAAAUCACCAAACCCCGGCGCGAAAAGCGUCAAGGACCAUUCAACGAAACAGGUCACUCCGGAUUGUUGCCCACGUGGUGUGCGUCCGGAUGUGUUCUCUGUGAUCAUAAGUCUAAAAUGACUCUCGGCAACGGAUAUCUCGGCUCUCGCAUCGAUGAAGAACGUAGCGAAAUGCGAUACUUGGUGUGAAUUGCAGAAUCCCGUGAACCAUCGAGUCUUUGAACGCAAGUUGCGCCCUAAGCCGUCAGGUCGAGGGCACGCUUGCCUGGGUGUCACGCAUCGUCAUCUCCCCACUCGUCUCGGCUUUCGCCCGGACGGUCAAGGAGAAGGAGAUUGGUCUCCCGUGUGGUACCGCACGCGGUUGGCCUAAAAUCGAGACACGGGGUUGUGGAGCUUCCCGACGAGCGGUGGUGUCAAGAUGCCUCGUGAAAACGUUGGUCGUUCCCAUCCCGAUGUGCUCAUCGACCCUACAAGUGUCGCCCUGGCGACCCUUCGAAAGCGACCCCAGUUCAAGCGGGA